rnacentral:rRNA from 1 species
CCUACGGGAGGCAGCAGUGAGGAAUAUUGGUCAAUGGGCGAGAGCCUGAACCAGCCAAGUCGCGUGAGGGAGUACUGCCCUAUGGGUUGUAAACCUCUUUUGUCGGGGAGCAAAAGCCGGACGUGUCCGGCUGUUAGAGUACCCGAAGAAAAAGCAUCGGCUAACUCCGUGCCAGCAGCCGCGGUAAUACGGAGGAUGCGAGCGUUAUCCGGAUUUAUUGGGUUUAAAGGGAGCGUAGGCCGGUCUUUAAGCGUGCCGUGAAAUUUUGUGGCUCAACCAUGAGAGUGCGGCGCGAACUGGAGACCUUGAGUGCGCGGAAGGCAGGCGGAAUUCGUGGUGUAGCGGUGAAAUGCUUAGAUAUCACGAAGAACCCCGAUUGCGAAGGCAGCCUGCCGCAGCGUUACUGACGCUGAAGCUCGAAAGCGCGGGUAUCGAACAGGAUUAGAUACCCGGGUAGUC